AUUGAACGCUGGCGGAAUGCUUUACACAUGCAAGUCGAACGGCAGCACGGGGGCAGCCCUGGUGGCGAGUGGCGAACGGGUGAGUAAUACAUCGGAACGUGCCCGGUCGUGGGGGAUAACGUAGCGAAAGUUACGCUAAUACCGCAUACGAUCUGAGGAUGAAAGCGGGGGACCUUCGGGCCUCGCGCGAUCGGAGCGGCCGAUGUCAGAUUAGGUAGUUGGUGGGGUAAAGGCCUACCAAGCCGACGAUCUGUAGCUGGUCUGAGAGGACGACCAGCCACACUGGGACUGAGACACGGCCCAGACUCCUACGGGAGGCAGCAGUGGGGAAUUUUGGACAAUGGGCGCAAGCCUGAUCCAGCCAUUCCGCGUGCAGGACGAGGGCCUUCGGGUUGUAAACUGCUUUUGUACGGAACGAAAAGGCUCUGGCUAAUACCUGGGGCUCAUGACGGUACCGGAAGAAUAAGCACCGGCUAACUACGUG
rnacentral:rRNA from 1 species